UGGUACCUUCGUUGGAUCCGCCUGCAGC
rnacentral:piRNA from 1 species